rnacentral:siRNA from 1 species
AUCCCGUCCUUAAUUGGUCCGUA